UACGGAGGGUGCGAGCGUUGUCCGGAAUCACUGGGCGUAAAGGGCGCGUAGGCGGCUCGUUAAGUGGCUGGUGAAAUCCCGGGGCUCAACUCCGGGGCUGCCGGUCAUACUGGCGAGCUGGAGCACGGUAGAGGCGGAUGGAAUUCCCGGUGUAGCGGUGGAAUGCGUAGAUAUCGGGAAGAACACCAGUGGCGAAGGCGGCUCGCUGGACCGGUUCUGACGCUGAUGCGCGAAAGCGUGGGGAGCAAACGGG
rnacentral:rRNA from 1 species